rnacentral:rRNA from 1 species
UACAAAGGUCUCAAGCGUUGUUCGGAUUCAUUGGGCGUAAAGGGUGCGUAGGCGGCGCGGUGAGUCGGGUGUGAAAUCUCGGAGCUUAACUCCGAAACUGCAUUCGAUACUGCCGUGCUUGAGGACUGGAGAGGAGACUGGAAUUUACGGUGUAGCGGUGAAAUGCGUAGAUAUCGGAAGGAACGCCGGUGGCGAAAGCGAUCGACUGGACCUUUUCUGACGCUGAGGCGCGAAAGCCAGGGGAGCAAACGGG